UGGAAAUGAUGAAAAACCCAGCUCAUUGAUUUACAAUGAUACCUAUAGUUCCUAUAUUCUGAUCCAGAU
ensembl:snoRNA